GAUGAACGCUAGCGGAAGGCAUAAUACAUGCAAGUCGAACGGAUGUAGCAAUACAUUAGUGGCGCACGGGUGCGUAACGCGUAUGCAACCUACCUUCAUCAGGGGGAUAACUACCCGAAAGGGUGGCUAACACCGCAUAAUACUACUGAAUGGCAUCAUUUGGUAUUUAAAUCUGAGGAGGAUGAAGAUGGGCAUGCGUCUGAUUAGCUAGUUGGUGUGGUAACGGCGCACCAAGGCGACGAUCAGUAGGGGAACUGAGAGGUUGGUCCCCCACACUGGCACUGAGAUACUGGCCAGACUCCUACGGGAGGCAGCAGUAGGGAAUAUUGGUCAAUGGUGGGAACACUGAACCAGCCAUUCCGCGUGCAGGAAGAAGGGUCUCUGACUUGUAAACUGCUUUAGCAAGGGAAGAAAAAGCUCAUGCGUGAGAAAUUGACGGUACCUUGAGAAUAAGCACCGGCUAACUACGUGCCAGCCGCCGCGGUAAAAC
rnacentral:rRNA from 1 species